rnacentral:rRNA from 1 species
AACACAUGCAAGUCGAACGCACCCUUCGGGUGAGUGGCGGACGGGUGAGUAACACGUGGGAACGUACCUUUUGGUUCGGAAUAACGCAGGGAAACUUGUGCUAAUACCGAAUGUGCCCUUCGGGGGAAAGAUUUAUCGCCAUUAGAGCGGCCCGCGUUAGGUUAGCUAGUUGGUGAGGUAAAGGCUCACCAAGGCUACGAUCUAUAGCUGGUCUGAGAGGAUGAUCAGCCACAUUGGGACUGAGACACGGCCCAAACUCCUACGGGAGGCAGCAGUGGGGAAUCUUGCGCAAUGGGCGAAAGCCUGACGCAGCCAUGCCGCGUGAAUGAUGAAGGUCUUAGGAUUGUAAAAUUCUUUCAGUAGGGACGAUAAUGACGGUACCUACAGAAGAAGCCCC